CGUACCUACGGGAGGCAGCAGUGGGGAAUAUUGCACAAUGGGGGAAACCCUGAUGCAGCGACGCCGCGUGAGUGAAGAAGUAUCUCGGUACGUAAAGCUCUAUCAGCAGGGAAGAAAAUGACGGUACCUGACUAAGAAGCCCCGGCUAACUACGUGCCAGCAGCCGCGGUAAUACGUAGGGGGCAAGCGUUAUCCGGAUUUACUGGGUGUAAAGGGAGCGUAGACGGCAGCACAAGUCUGGAGUGAAAUCCCGGGGCCCAACCCCGGAACUGCAUUGGAAACUGUUUAUCUAGAGUGUCGGAGAG
rnacentral:rRNA from 1 species